AAUAUUGGACAAUGGGGGCAACCCUGAUCCAGCCAUGCCGCGUGUGUGAAGAAGGUAUUCGGAUUGUAAAGCACUUAAAGUUGGGAGGAAGGGCUUUAGGUUAAUACCCUGAAGUUUGGACGUUACUAACAGAAUAAGCACCGGCUAGCUCUGUGCCAGCAGCCGCGGUAAUACAGAGGGUGCAAGCGUUAAUCGGAAUUACUGGGCGUAAAGCGCGCGUAGGUGGUUCAGUAAGAUGGGUGUGAAAUCCCCGGGCUUAACCUGGGAACUGCUUUCAUAACUGCUUGGCUAGAGUACGGUAGAGGGUAGUGGAAUUUCCUGUGUAGCGGUGAAAUGCGUAGAUAUAGGAAGGAACACCAGUGGCGAAGGCGACUAACUGGACUGAUACUGACACUGAGGUGCGAAAGCGUGGGGAGCAAACA
rnacentral:rRNA from 1 species